GACGAACGCUGGCGGCGUGCUUAACACAUGCAAGUCGAACGGGCCCGCUCUCUUUUUUGGGGGUGGGUUGAGUGGCGAACGGGUGAGUAUCACGUGAGUAACCUGCCCCCUGCUCCUGGAUAACUGCUUGAAAGGGCGGCUAAUACGGGGUGUGCCGGCUGGUCCGGAUGGGCCUGGUCGGGAUAGUUUCAUCUUCGGGUGUUUCGGUGGGGGAUGGGCUCGCGGCCUAUCAGCUUGUUGGUGGGGUGAUGGCCCACCAAGGCGGUGACGGGUAGCCGGCCUGAGAGGGUGGGCGGCCACACUGGGACUGAGACACGGCCCAGACUCCUGCGGGAGGCAGCAGUGGGGGGUAUUGCACAAUGGGCGGAAGCCUGAUGCAGCGACGUCGCGUGAGGGAUGGAGGCCUUCGGGUUGUGAACCUCUUUCUCCGGUGGUGAAGGCCCUGUCCGUUGCGGCGGGGUUGACGGUAGCCGGGUAUGAAGCGCCGGCUAACUACGUG
rnacentral:rRNA from 1 species